rnacentral:rRNA from 1 species
GGUUAAGCGACUAAGCGUACACGGUGGAUGCCUAGGCAAUCAGAGGCGAUGAAGGACGUGCUAAUCUGCGAUAAGCGUCGGUAAGGUGAUAUGAACCGUUACAACCGACGAUUUCCGAAUGGGGAAACCCAGUGCAAUUCGUUGCACUAUCGUUUGAUGAAUACAUAGUCAAACGAAGCGAACCGGGGGAACUGAAACAUCUCAGUACCCCGAGGAAAAGAAAUCAACCGAGAUUCCCCUAGUAGCGGCGAGCGAACGGGGAGCAG